AUUGAACGCUGGCGGCAGGCCUAACACAUGCAAGUCGAGCGAGCGGCGGACGGGUGAGUAAUGUAUGGGGACUGCCCGAUAGAGGGGGAUAACUACUGGAAACGGUGGCUAAUACCGCAUACUAUCGGAUAACCCAUAUGGGAUUAGCUAGUAGGUGGGGUAAAGGAUCACCUAGGCGACGAUCUCGAGCUGGUCUGAGAGGAUGAUCAGCCACACUGGUACUGAGACACGGCCCAGACUCCUAAGGAGGCAGCAGUGGGGAAUAUUGAACAAUGGGCGCAAGCCUGAUGCAGCCAUGCCGCGUGUAUGAAGAAGGCAUUCGGGUGGUAAAGUACUUUAAGCGAGGAGGCGUUACUCGCAGAAGAAGCACCGGAUAACUCCGUGCCAGCAGCCGCGGUAAUAC
rnacentral:rRNA from 1 species